GCGUGCCUAUACAUGCAAGUCGAACGGGAAGUAUUAAUUUCGAUUUUUACUUCUAGUGGCGAACGGGUGAGUAACGCGUUGGUGACCUGCCCCGAAGAGGGGGAUAACUCCGCGAAAGCGGAGCUAAUACCCCAUGUGGUCUCUGAGAUUAGAUGCUCAAUGACUAAAGGAGCAAUCCACUUCGGGAGGGACCUGCGUCCCAUCAGCUAGUUGGUAAGGUAACGGCCUACNAGGCGAUGACGGGUAGGGGGCCUGAGAGGGUGGCCCCCCCACUGGACUGAAACACGGCCAGAAUUUACGGAUGGCAGCAGUAGGAAUUUUCCCAAUGGGGGAAACCUUAUGCAGCAACCCCCCGU
rnacentral:rRNA from 1 species